GGUUCCGUAGUGUAGUGGUUAGCACAUCUGCUUUACACGCAGAAGGUCCUGGGUUCGGAGCCUCGGUGGAAUCA
rfam:Tinamus guttatus contig32144, whole genome shotgun sequence.